GGGCGAUUAGCUCAGGGGGAGAGCGCUGCCUUCACACGGCAGAGGUCGGUGGUUCGAAACCACCAUCGCCUA
rnacentral:tRNA from 1 species